rnacentral:rRNA from 2 species
UGGGGAAUAUUGGGCAAUGGGGGGAACCCUGACCCAGCAACGCCGCGUGAAGGAAGAAGGUUUUCGGAUUGUAAACCUCUGUCCUUGGUGAAGAAAGAAAUGACGGUAGCCGAGGAGGAAGCUACGGCUAACUACGUGCCAGCAGCCGCGGUAAUACGUAGGUGGCGAGCGUUGUCCGGAAUUACUGGGUGUAAAGGGAGCGUAGGCGGGUCGGCAAGUCAGUGGUGAAAUACAUGGGCUUAACCCAUGAAUUGCCAUUGAAACUGCCGGUCUUGAGUGGAUCAGAGGCAAGCGGAAUUCCGAGUGUAGCGGUGAAAUGCGUAGAUAUUCGGAGGAACACCAGUGGCGAAGGCGGCUUGCUGGGGUCUAACUGACGCUGAGGCUCGAAAGUGCGGGGAGCAAACAGG